ACGAGACGAAACGAGAUAUUUAACGACUAAGUGGGAUAAUAUACUAUCUAACCUACCCUACCCUAACCACUCCACCAACCACCCAACCCCACUCACUCACACAUAUUAUACGGCUGUAUCAGCCAAACACUCCACUCACACUUUAAUCUCACACAUACAACACCUAAAACACACACUAGUUCACGCCAUUUUCAUUUUAGUUUGAGCUCAAGCUUUUGACCUCCGAUUUGAGCACCGAGACGAGCGCCGAUCAUCUUUUCGAUCACGUAUCUAAGUAGGUCCUUUUGGGAAGUAACGACUUGAGGGAGAGAGUGACGUUACUCAUUGAUACAGAGACACAACGAGGUUGAGCUGAUGUGAUGAUGGUGCUGCAAUGAGCGGAGUCUCCAGGGUUGUUAAUAAAUAGUUAACCUGUCUAGAAUAUGUCUUCAUACAUAUGUCUAGCUACUUUCCGCUGCAAGAUGUUGUUGAUGUUAUAGUAUGUUAUGUCAUACUUUGAGUCUUAAGAGAAUGGUUGCAUAUGAUGUAUAACUCGAUUAAUGAUAUUAAUUAACUUUUAUGCAGUCUUUCAUAGACUGUUUUCAAUUGAGUAUUAAUGAAUAAAAAUGACGAGUUUUAUUAA